rnacentral:misc_RNA from 1 species
ACUACCCGGGUAUCUAAUCCUGUUUUUGCUCCCAGCUUUUAAGUAAUGGGCGUUGAUGUUCAUCCCAGGAAGCUGCACCUUCGCCAUCAGUGUUCCUCCGCAUAUCUACGCGUUUUGCUGCUGCGCGGAAUUCUAUCCUCGACACUCGCAGCUCAGUAGUUAAUCACAGUUCCGGUUGGCUGCGGGUUUUCGCAUCUUUUCUUUCCGAACCGCCUGCGCGCGCUUCGCCCAGUAAUUCCGAUUAACGCUUGCACCCUACGUAUUACCGCGGCUGCUGGCGUAGUUAGCCGGUGCUUAUUCUGCAAAUUACCAUAUAGUCAGGUUUGCGCAGAUGGUAGUAUCCCGUGCCGUUUCUUUCUCCUGCAAAAGUGCUUUGCUGGCAGAAAGGAAGCCUUCAUGCCCACGCGGGAUGGCUCGGAUCAGGGUUUCCCCAUUGUCAAAAAUUCCCCGCUGCGUCCCGUA